UACGUAGGGUGCAAGCGUUAUCCGGAAUUAUUGGGCGUAAAGAGCUCGUAGGCGGUUUGUCGCGUCUGCUGUGAAAACUGGAGGCUCAACCUCCAGCCUGCAGUGGGUACGGGCAGACUAGAGUGCGGUAGGGGAGAUUGGAAUUCCUGGUGUAGCGGUGGAAUGCGCAGAUACCAGGAGGAACACCGAUGGCGAAGGCAGAUCUCUGGGCCGUAACUGACGCUGAGGAACGAAAGCCAGGGGAGCAAACGGG
rnacentral:rRNA from 1 species